AGGACAGUAACUCUUGUUUAGAUGGCUGAAGAAGAAGAGCUUCGUAUUCGUGAUAGAUCGCAAGAUAAAUCUCGGAGUGGAUUUGAAAAAAGAGAAAAAAGAAGAAGGAUUCGAAAACUCCAAGAUGCAAUUAUUCAGAAGGACAGAUUCAAAAUACAGGAACUUUUAGAGGAAGAUUUUGAAGUAGAUUUCCAGUACAGAGGCCAGACAGCAUUGCAGCUAGCUGUGAAGGAGGGCGAGUAUGAGAUUUGUCAGAAACUGGUGGAGAAAGGAGCAGAUGUUAAUGUUUGUGACGCUCAGAAGAACAGCGUACUGAACACAGCCUGCUGGAAAGGACACACAGACAUUGUCAAAUUACUGGUCAGAAGCGGGGCCCAGCUGAAUGCUCAAAAUGACCACGAAUCAACACCAUUGUUCACUGCAGCCUAUAAAGGUCAUUUUGAUAUUGUGAGUGUCCUUGUAGAAGCAUGUUGUGACCUUGACCUCCAAAAUGUUCAUGGUCAAUCACCUCUACAUGCAGCAGUGAAGAACGAACAUAUUAGCUGUGUGCAUAGACUGGUGGAUGGGGGAUGCAACAUCAACUUUAUAGAUACAGAUUUCAAAUCUCCCCUAAUGGUAGCCAGUGAACUAGGACUGACUGAAGUAGCCAAAAUCCUUCUUGAAAAAGGGGCAUCUGUUAAUCUAAAGGAUAGAGCAGGUGAAACAGCUGUUUUGUUGGCUGCUGCACAAGGAUAUAGUGACAUAAUUAAAGAAUUAGCCUAUCACAAAGCAGAUGUAGAUAUGGCAACAACCAAUGGACGGGUGCCUCUUAUUGAGGCAAUCAUUGGAUCUCAUUGGAAGACAGCAACAGCCUUGAUUCAGGCUGCAGCAGAUGUCAACAAAAAAGACAAACAGCAGCAGGCACCCAUACACGCCGCCAUCAGGCAAGUGUCCAGUGUGUUUGGGAGGGAAUUUGACCAGCAGGCCAUGGCCAUUGUUAAGGAGCUGAUCAACAGGGGCGCCGAUAUCAACAAGCAGGAUUCCCAGGGCUGGACCGCGCUGUAUCAGAGUGCCUUUGCAGGAAACUUAGGUACUGGGGCAGCAUGCAUACUUCAGAGAGUUAUCUACCUUACUGUUGGAUCAGAAGGCUGAUGUUUCCAUCACAACAACCUCAGGAGAUAGUGUUUUACAUGCUGGUGUCUAUGGAAACAAUGCAACAAUCGUUGAUCACUUGAUAGCUGCUGGUUGUGAUGUAAAUAAGGUGAAUAAAAAAGGAGAGCAUCCAUUGUUUUCAGCCAUAUUGUCACGAGUAGAUAUCAAGAUAGUGAGAGCUUUGAUUGAAGCAGGAAGUAACUUGGACCUGAAAGAAAAAACCCUGCAGCUGACGUCCCUCCACGAAGCCAUCAUUCAACAUUAUACGGAGGCCGCCCUGCUUCUUAUUGAGUCAGGUUGUGAUAUUAAUGCCAGAAACGGUAAAGAGCAGACCCCGCUGUACACAGCCUGCGAGAAGGGUAACACCCAGGUUGUAGAGCGGUUACUGUCCCUCCCUGAGGUCAACACUCGGGGGGCCAAAGUGUCUACCAUCCCCAUCCAUGUCGCUACGGCCAACAACUUCUCCCACAUUGUACAACAGCUGAUCGAUGUAAACUGUGACUUCCAUGUGAUGAAUGAGAAAGGAAUGACUCCAAUCAUGGUGGCGACUAAUGAGAACAGUACAAGAGUUGCCAAAGUACUAAUCAAGAAUGGCUGUGACCUGGAGUCUCAUUGCCGGGAGAAGAAGCUGAUGGUGUGCUGUGUGCUCUACCAGGAUUCUCAUCCCCACUUUGACCUUGAACCUCUAUUUUUAGCACUGACUCACAAAAACAUUGAGCUGAUCAAACUCUACCUGAUGUGUUACAGAAAGAUACCAGUGAAAGUCAUCAAAAUCUUGUCAAAUAUUUUGAGAACUUCUCAAGAAUUAAAUAUGCAUUUUCCUGCUGAAGAGAAAAAGGAAAUUUUGAAUGUGUUUUCGAAAAUUAUAAAGUUUCCCAGGUCUUUACAAGAAAUCUGCCGUUGUCAUAUCCGAGAGUGUGUGAAGCAACCAUUUCUGAAAAAUGUUCCCAAACUACCUGUUGCCAAAAAAAUCAUGGACUUUAUAACCAUGGAGGACAUUUUGAGCUUAUCUAGUGAGGCGGAGGAAGAGGAAGAACUUAGGCAUGCUGGGAAGUUUACGUUUGUUGGCAGGAAGAUGCCUUAUGAAUUGUAGUUUGGAAAUCUAUCAAGUUCCUUCAACAAAUGUUUCUAAACUUUUCAUGAUUUCAGAAUAUUAAUUCUUAUACAUGUACUACUUUCAGGUACAUUUUGGGGUGGGAUUGGUCAAAUUAAAUUACUUCAAAAUUUGUUGUCCUGUUUGAGAAUUUCAUGUAAAUUUAUUUACUUUGGAAAGUUGAUUUUGAAAAGGUCAUUGUUGAUAUAGAAGUUUCUUUUGGACUUGUGUAGUGUGUAGCUUGGCAUUUAAUGAAUAAAAUAUUUAAUAU
rnacentral:misc_RNA from 1 species